UGAGGAAUAUUGCGCAAUGGGGGCAACCCUGACGCAGCAACGCCGCGUGAGUGAAGAAGGUUUUCGGAUUGUAAACCUCUGUCCUAGGGGACGAAGAAAGUGACGGUACCCUAGGAGGAAGCCCCGGCUAACUACGUGCCAGCAGCCGCGGUAAUACGUAGGGGGCAAGCGUUGUCCGGAAUUACUGGGCGUAAAGGGUGCGUAGGCGGUAUGGUAAGUUAGAUGUGAAAUCCCCGGGCUUAACUCGGGAGUUGCAUUUAAAACUGUCAGACUAGAGUGCAGGAGAGGAAAGCGGAAUUCCUAGUGUAGCGGUGAAAUGCGUAGAUAUUAGGAGGAACACCAGUGGCGAAGGCGGCUUUCUGGACUGUAACUGACGCUGAGGCACGAAAGCGUGGGGAGCGAACA
rnacentral:rRNA from 1 species